rnacentral:RNase_P_RNA from 1 species
UCAGUUGGCCGGAUGGCCGCUGCUUCGGGGUGCUUUGUGGGCCGUAAGGUCAGGCGCGCGCGGGGUGGAGGAAAGUCCGGGCUCCACGGAAACACGGCGCCGGAUAACGUCCGGCCGGGGCGACCCGAGGGACAGUGCAACAGAAAGCAAACCGCCUUCGACUUGGUGUCGCGUUUGGUGUCUCAAGUAGCGCGAAGCGCGAUAGACCCCAAGAUGAAGGUAAGGGUGAAAGGGUGCGGUAAGAGCGCACCGCAUAUCCGGCAACGGGUGUGGCAUGGCAAACCCCACCAGGAGCAAGACCAAGUAGGGAUGGCACGCCGGCGUAAGCCGGCACGCGGGUUUCCGCGCCGCCGUCCGGGUCGGUCGCGCGAGGCGCUCGGCAACGGGCGUCCCAGAUGAAUGGCCAUCGCCUGCCCAUAGGCAGGUACAGAACCCGGCUUACAGGCUGUCUGGCACC